rnacentral:rRNA from 1 species
CCUACGGGAGGCAGCAGUGGGGAAUAUUGCACAAUGGGGGAAACCCUGAUGCAGCGACGCCGCGUGAGCGAUGAAGUAUUUCGGUAUGUAAAGCUCUAUCAGCAGGGAAGAAAAUGACGGUACCUGACUAAUCAGCCCCGGCUAACUCCGUGCCAGCCGCCGCGGUAAUACGUAGGGGGCAAGCGUUAUCCGGAUUUACUGGGUGUAAAGGGAGCGUAGACGGCGGUGCAAGCCAGAUGUGAAAGCCCGGGGCUAAACCCCGGGACUGCAUUUGAAACUGUGCUGCUAGAGUGUGGGAGAGGCAGGCGGAAUUCCUAGUGUAGCGGUGAAAUGCGUAGAGAUUAGGAGGAACACCAGUGGCGAAGGCGGCCUGCUGGACGAUGACUGACGUUGAGGCGCGAAAGCGUGGGGAGCAAACAGGAUUAGAUACCCCUGUAGUC